CGGUCCUAAGGUAGCGAAAUUCCUUGUCGGGUAAGUUCCGACCUGCACGAAUGGCGUAAUGAUGGCCAGGCUGUCUCCACCCGAGACUCAGUGAAAUUGAACUCGCUGUGAAGAUGCAGUGUACCCGCGGCAAGACGGAAAGACCCCGUGAACCUUUACUAUAGCUUGACACUGAACAUUGAGCCUUGAUGUGUAGGAUAGGUGGGAGGCUUUGAAGUGUGGACGCCAGUCUGCAUGGAGCCGACCUUGAAAUACCACCCUUUAAUGUUUGAUGUUCUAACGUUGACCCGUAAUCCGGGUUGCGGACAGUGUCUGGUGGGUAGUUUGACUGGGGCGGUCUCCUCCUAAAGAGUAACGGAGGAGCACGAAGGUUGGCUAAUCCUGGUCGGACAUCAGGAGGUUAGUGCAAUGGCAUAAGCCAGCUUGACUGCGAGCGUGACGGCGCGAGCAGGUGCGAAAGCAGGUCAUAGUGAUCCGGUGGUUCUGAAUGGAAGGGCCAUCGCUCAACGGAUAAAAGGUACUCCGGGGAUAACAGGCUGAUACCGCCCAAGAGUUCAUAUCGACGGCGGUGUUUGGCACCUCGAUGUCGGCUCAUCACAUCCUGGGGCUGAAGUAGGUCCCAAGGGUAUGGCUGUUCGCCAUUUAAAGUGGUACGCGAGCUGGGUUUAGAACGUCGUGAGACAGUUCGGUCCCUAUCUGCCGUGGGCGCUGGAAAUUUGAGAGGAUCUGCUCCUAGUACGAGAGGACCGGAGUGGACGAACCUCUGGUGUACCGGUUGUCACGCCAGUGGCAUCGCCGGGUAGCUAUGUUCGGAAGGGAUAACCGCUGAAAGCAUCUAAGCGGGAAGCCUACCUCAAGAUAAGAUUUCCCUAGGACU
rnacentral:rRNA from 1 species